rnacentral:snRNA from 1 species
UCACCACUCUGGCCUUAUUGGCUUAGAUCAAGUGUAGUAUCUGUUCUUGAUAGUUUAACCGCUAUUAUGGAGGCUUAACCUCUACCUGGUUAUCCUAUUUUUGCUGCCUCGGUUCCUUGGGCUCUGCUUGCACCCCUUGGAUGUGAUGACCUUGCUGCUGCAGAAUUGGCUAGCGUCGUCGGAGGAUU